GAUGAACGCUAGCUACAGGCUUAACACAUGCAAGUCGAGGGGCAGCGGUAUCGAAAGCUUGCUUUCGGUAGCCGGCGACCUGCGCACGGGUGAGUAACGCGUAUCGAACCUGCCUCAUACUCGGGAAUAGCCUUGCGAAAGUAAGAUUAAUGCCCGGUGUUUUCAGAGUCCCGCAUGAGGCUUUGAACAAAGAUUUAUCGGUAUGAGAUGGCGAUGCGUCCCAUUAGCUUGUUGGCGGGGUAACGGCCCACCAAGGCAUCGAUGGGUAGGGGUUCUGAGAGGAAGGUCCCUCACAUUGGAACUGAGACACGGUCCAAACUCCUACGGGAGGCAGCAGUGAGGAAUAUUGGUCAAUGGGCGGAAGCAUGAACCAACCAAGUAGCGUGCAGGAAGACGGCCCUCGGGGUUGUAAACUGCUUUUAGUUGGGAAGAAAACGGGGCUCGUGAGCCCCCUUGCAUGUACCAUCAGAAAAAGGACCGGCUAAUUCCGUG
rnacentral:rRNA from 1 species